rnacentral:rRNA from 1 species
ACGAACGCUGGCGGCGUGCUUAACCCCUGCAAGUCGAACGGAAAGGCCCUGCUUUUGUGGGGUGCUCGAGUGGCGAACGGGUGAGUAACACGUGAGUAACCUGCCCUUGACUUUGGGAUAACUUCAGGAAACUGGGGCUAAUACCGGAUAGGAGCUCCUGCUGCAUGGUGGGGGUUGGAAAGUUUCGGCGGUUGGGGAUGGACUCGCGGCUUAUCAGCUUGUUGGUGGGGUAGUGGCUUACCAAGGCUUUGACGGGUAGCCGGCCUGAGAGGGUGACCGGCCACAUGGGGAUUGAGAUACGGCCCAGACUCCUACGGGAGGCAGCAGUGGGGAAUAUUGCACAAUGGGCGGAAGCCUGAUGCAGCAACGCCGCGUGCGGGAUGACGGCCUUCGGGUAGUAAACCGCUUUCGCCUGUGACGAAGCGUGAGUGACGGUAAUGGGUAAAGAAGCACCGGCUAACUACGU